AGAGUUUGAUCCUGGCUCAGAUUGAACGCUGGCGGCAUGCCUUACACAUGCAAGUCGAACGGCAGCACGGGAGCAAUCCUGGUGGCGAGUGGCGAACGGGCGAGUAAUAUAUCGGAACGUGCCCAGUCGUGGGGGAUAACGCAGCGAAAGCUGUGCUAAUACCGCAUACGAUCUCUGGAUGAAAGCGGGGGACUCAGCAAUGGGCCUCGCGCGAUUGGAGCGGCCGAUAUCAGAUUAGCUAGUUGGUGGGGUAAAAGCCCACCAAGGCGACGAUCUGUAGCUGGUCUGAGAGGACGACCAGCCACACUGGAACUGAGACACGGUCCAGACUCCUACGGGAGGCAGCAGUGGGGAAUUUUGGACAAUGGGCGCAAGCCUGAUCCAGCAAUGCCGCGUGCAGGAUGAAGGCCUUCGGGUUGUAAACUGCUUUUGUACGGAACGAAACGGUCGCCUCUAAUAAAGGCGGCUAAUGACGGUACCGUAAGAAUAAGCACCGGCUAACUACGUGCCAGCAGCCGCGGUAAUACGUAGGGUGCGAGCGUUAAUCGGAAUUACUGGGGCGUAAAGCGUGCGCAGGCGGUGAUGUAAGACAGAUGUGAAAUCCCCGGGCUCAACCUGGGACCUGCAUUUGUGACUGCAUCGCUAGAGUACGGUAGAGGGGGAUGGAAUUCCGCGUGUAGCAGUGAAAUGCGUAGAUAUGCGGAGGAACACCGAUGGCGAAGGCAAUCCCCUGGACCUGUACUGACGCUCAUGCACGAAAGCGUGGGGAGCAAACAGGAUUAGAUACCCUGGUAGUCCAC
rnacentral:rRNA from 1 species